AAAAGCCCCAUAAAUGAUCCAGGUGCUGGAAGGACUGACUUAUUAGCUAACAUUAAUAGCUCAAUCUGUAUAGACUGGCUAAGUGACGAUGAUUAAGAGAGGGGAGAGACAUGAUAACAGAUAACAGUAUGCAGUUGAAAGGUGUAAAAAUACCAAAAAAGGAGAGGAGUUACACAGAACAGUACAAAAGAAAAUGAUGGAGAAUCAAAGGCAAGCUGCAAGAGUGGUCAUGCACCCAUCCCCAGCAGUGCGGUGGCAUGGCUUUGGGUGACCGGAGCAGCCGAUGGAGAGUGAAACAGCUUCAAUAGGAGAGACUGAGGGAGACCUGAACCAGAAUAUCCCACAGCUUUGCAGUUAUGGCACUUACCUGAGAGAUGACAGAACUGUACUCAAAUCCCUUCUCCCCAGCAGGUGGAGGGGGACCUGAAUCAGGGAUCUCUACAAUCCAGGUGGGUCAGCACCUGGAGCUUUGUUGGUUUUCCAGAACCCAGACUACAGCAACGACUUCUCUUAAACUGCAGUGAGAGAAGAAACGCUUUUUCUGCCUGGCAGCAUUUCAGAGGCAUUAAGUGUAAGAGGGAAGAUGAAUAAGGGACAGCCCCUGCCUCUCUGCUAUUUGUCAGUGUGGACAACACUGCACUGAUGGAAUUGAAAGGCUUACAGUUUCCCAUCGCCAAAAACCUGGUUCCUGUUGAAUGCCAUCAGGAUGAUUCAGCCACCCACCAGGAAUACCAGUAGCAGCAAGUGCGCGCACACACAGAAAUCUGCAAAACUUUCUGCUCUCAGUGCCAGGGCCGUUAUUCAGGCAGUCUGAUCUUCAUUAACGAUUCAUCAUUACCUCCAGCAGCAAGUUUAGCCUCAUGCCAAGGUGGUGAAACAGAAGAACUAGUCCACAGUCUCACAAAGAUCCCCAUAAUCAUCCCAUCUGCCUCGUGUCUAUAGUGCAUCCUACAAUCCACAUUCUCAGCAAUUUACUUUGUGGUUAUUUCAUUCACCUUCAGCUUGGCCACAGACAUCACAUACUUCCUAUCAGCUUGUUUCAUCAGACCAGUGGUUCGCGCUGUCUGGUAACAGUCCCCUGCUUUAGUGGUCAACACCUAUUACUUCCAUGGAAGGUGACAAUCCCCA